rnacentral:lncRNA from 1 species
AUACUUUAAGGGCCUUAAACACAUCAUUCAUGGGAUUUCUAAGAGUUUACGGCCAAGACCUGUUCUUGGGCCGUAAACUCCAAAAUUUUUGGUGUUAGAAUGCAAACUAAACACCCCUAAAGCCUUUAGAUGAAUUUUAGAAGCCAUUCUAUGCAAGUUUUAGACCUUGAAACACAUUGUAGCUUCAUAUAUUAGAGUUUACGGCCAUGAAGGGGGUUUCAUGGGCCGUAAACUCCAUAAAUCCCUCAUAUGUCCCAUAUAAACUCAUUUCUAGGCUUGUGGGAAUUUUUAGAAUCACAUGUGAUUGGUUUUAACAACAUUUAGCAUCAUUUUCAUAAGGAUUAAGGAGUUUACGGCCAGGAGCCUAUGCUAGGCCGUAAACUCCCAUAAAUUAAUCAUUUUGGUGAUUUUAAUCCAUUCCAAGCAUUUAGAACAAAGCCUAGAAACAUUUCCCAUGUCCAUGUAAGCCAUUUAAGCCAUUUAAACACCCAAAACCACACCCACAUGAGUUUACGGCCGUAAACUCAUGUAUGUGUGUGUUUUGUGGUUGUAAACUCAUUUAAAAGUUUACUCAUGGGGAGUAAACUCAAGUCCCAAGUCCCUAGUGUCAUUUCACAUCCUUAAACGCCACCCGGGUCCCUCCAAACACUCGUAUCGGAGUGUUUUCGCGACUAGAAGCAAUUGUCCCUAUCCAACAAUCAAUCUAAGUCCUAAUUAGAUACAAAUGUGUAUCUUUAAACUAUAUUUAGGAACCUCGCGCAUUUACAAGCCCCAGACCAACGUUUAUCAUCCGAAAUCGUCACAUUUCUCGUCCGGUGAGUUCAUACCCCCACCCUUUUUCACUGUUUUUUUAACAUGUUUUCAGGGGGGGAAUACAAGCAAAAGUACAAGUGUAUCUUGUACUCAAAUUGAUUUUCAACUUAAUGGUUUCAGUUUCUAAAUGUCUUAAUUUUCAAAGAUCUAGACAACUAAUGUUUCGAAUUGCAGGUUAAUUGUAGANAGAUUUCUAUUGAAAAGUACUUUGAUCUAUAUUGCUUUUAUAAAGAAAUCAUACUAAUAAGAAAAUACGAAUACGAAUAUGUCUACGAAUACGAAUACGAAUAUACGAAUACAAAUACGAAUAUGUUUACGAAUACGAAUACGAAUACGAUUACGAAUACGAAUACGAAUACGAAUAUACGAAUACGAAUACGAAUAUGUCUACGAAUACGAAUACGAAUACGAAUAUACGAAUACGAAUACGAAUAUGUCUACAAAUACGAAUACGAAUAUACGAAUACAAAUAUGAAUAUGUCUAUGAAUACGAAUACGAAUACGAUUACGAAUACGAAUACGACUAGGAUUACGAAUGCGAGUGCGAAUGCGAAUCCGACUACGAAUACGAAGUGACGCCUUUGGUUGACACUAGACUACGAAUAUACGAAUACCGUACUCUCUGAGUGUCACCAGAGUUUCGAAAACGAAUACGAAAAUACGCCUCUGGACCUCUACUGAGCUUCGAAUAUAUCCUCCUCAGAAUGUCGACAGAGCUUCGAAUACACAACGAAAUGUACUCUUUUGGAACUUCACAGAACUUCGAAAAUACAUUUAAGUUAGCAGAUAGUAGCCAUCCAAAGGUAGAAUAACUAAGGGUUAGAAUACUUAUCUAAUAUUAUACACAUGGUAAUAACUAGUAUCAAAUGGAAACGAACAGAUAACUCAAAACAUAGGAAAAUAUGGGAUUUUCCUGGGAUAAUAUAACAGUUAGUAACGAACCUAGAUACAAAUAGACAACUCGACAUAUAGGAAAAUAUGGGAUUUUCCGGGGUAACAUAACAGCACAUAAUCGAAUAAAGAAACAAACGAAUAACUAUAACUAUAAGGAAAAUAUGGGAUUUUCCUGGAAUGUCAUAACCAACCGUUUUCGAAAUUGUAUCAAGGGAUAACUAAAUUGUUUUCAAUAAGAAAAUAUGGGAUUUUCUUCAUCAACAUCUUUUCUCGAACGUUAAGGAACUCGUCUUUUCAAAACUAAACUGCUUAUGAACUCACCAGCUUUAUGCUGAUUUUCAAACUGCUUGUAUUCUCAGGUCCACGUUAGACAGGUACACCGCAACCUUUUGGAGAAGACGGAGCGUCCCGAAGACUCGUCUUUACUUUUAUCUAUAUUACAUAUGUAUAAUACAUGUACAACUUUACUUUCAAUCAGAUGUAAACAUUAUUAUGUAAUGUAAUGUUUUGUGAUUACUGCUUUACUAUGUGCAUUGGAUUUGAUACUCAACGUGGAGUCAACCCCGGGAACGUUUCCGCCUUUGGUUUUCGGGGUGUGACACAUUGGUAUCAGAGCCCUUGUUUAUAGUGAACUGGUAUACCAAAGCUUACAUGGUAUAAGACUAUAAACAUUAAAGGGCCUAAGUGCUCUGAACUAAAAGUAUCCUACAAUAUAUAAGUAUUUUCAAAAAGUAUUUAAGUAUGUCGAGCCGUCGAAAUCCGUAACUAUAAGUAGAACAAAACAUAAGUAAAUGGGUGUUGUACACCGCGGUUAAACCUGGGCAGUUAUGUAGUCGUGUCUAGGGUCAAUAUAGCCUGGCCAACUAUAUUCAUUCGAGACACGGCCAACAUGUGCUUGGGAGUGACUGUGGCAUGCGGCAUACCUAAAACUUACCCAAUAUCCCAAACAACAAAUCGUCGCUGCAGCGAACCAUGAAAUACUAUGGGAGUAUUUCUCGAGCCGAUCCUUUGUAGAAAUCCUCGUAUACGCGUUAUUCCUUGAUUAUUCCUCUAGCGAUAAAAUGUUCUAUCUUGAUAACUCCUUUCUGCUUUAUCGCUUAGUAUGAUGCUAUAUUUGCCUUGAUGAGAUAUCUCCUAUCCCAUAUCUCUUGAUUCAAUUCAGAGGACUUAUGAUCCUCUCUUUCCUGAUCUUUUUAGAUCAAGAUGCCUCCAAGAAAGAGACCCAGCUCAACGAACAACAACAAUCCUCCUCCGCCACCACCUCCUAUUCAAAUCGAUUUGGAAACACUUCAGGCAACCAUUUCUGCUACCAUAUCAGCUCUCUUACCUCAACUGAACUCUAGGGGUUCGGGAGGUGAAACCCAAAACCCAGAUGAUAGCCAGGGACACCAAAAAGGGGGUUCCUAUAAAGACUUCAUGAACGCAAAACCGACAUUCUUCGAUGGCACAGGAGGUGUCAUUGCCUUAACCCGAUGGUUCGAGAGAAUCGAAUCAAUCUUUGAGAUAUGUGGCUGUUCGGAGUCUGAUAAAGUCAAGUUUGCUGCCUGCACUCUCCUCGAUAAAGCUUUGACUUGGUGGAACGGCCGAGUCAAAUCCCUGACCUUACCGGUAGCUAAUGCUAUGGGAUGGGAAGUAAUGAAGGAACUCCUACGUGCGGAGUAUUGCCCUCGGGGUGAAAUCCAGAAGCUGGAAAACGAGCUAUGGAACCUGAAGAUGAAAGGUUCCGAUAUCGCCUCUUACACUUCCAGGUUUGAUGACCUGGCACUCCUUUGUCCGGGAAUGGUUACCCCGGAAAGCAAAAAGAUAGAAAGAUUCAUCUGGGGAUUAACCCAGCCAACAAAGGGGAACGUUAUAGCAGCAAAGCUAGAUACCUACGACAGUGCAAAGUGUCUGGCUCAAACUUUGAUCGAUCACAGUGAUGUGCAAGAAGAAGCAGACACCACCCCCGAGCUCACAGAAAAGAGUUGCGAGAAAAGAAAAUUUUGGAAGAAGAAGAAGAGACAGUCUUCCCCAGAACUCUCAAAGAAACAGCAAAUAGUGACAGUUUAAGCUGCCACUAUCCCUGCUGCUGUUUCUGUUGUCAAUUCCACGUCUCAAGCACCUGUCACCGGAUAUGCCGGUAUCCUCCCAUGGUGUAACCAUUGUAGUUACCACCAUCGCAUCCCUGGCCCUUGUCGUGCAAAGUUUUGUAGAAGCUGUGGCCAGGAAGGUCAUCUCGCACGAACCUGCAAAACCCCAACCCCGUCAACUAGUCAGGCUUCCGGAGCAGGGAUCGGUCAAACCUGCUACAGUUGUGGAGAGGUCGGACACUAUAAGCGAAACUGUCCGAAGACAGUAACAUCUGGCAACACCGGGAGAGUCCUAACCAUGAGUCAAGAAAGGACGGUCGUUGAUCCCACCGUUGCUACAGGUAUACUUCUCUUUAAUAAAUCUUGUGCCUGUGAUCCUUCUCAAUUUUAAUGUGGUGAAAAUUUGCUAAUCAUUCAUUCAAAUAUCUAUCUAGACUAAAAUUCUUUGUCAAUAAUCGAAACAUACACCGUUAAGAUAACUAAUCAAUGAGAUAGAGAAACGGAAAGUAACAGUUCUUCCCUCUCAAUGUCUAUCCCGAAGGAUUCCCGGGAGUUUCUUUCAAAUGUCUAGUUUAGUCUCACAUCUGACCCUCUGAGAUCUUUGUAGAAAUCGAUUCUAUAACCCUUAGACUUCGGAUAUUCUUAGAACUUGGUAACAUCUAUCUAGACCAUCACGUCUCGAAUACUUAGAAACGUCUGCCCAACGAAACCCUAGUGAUCCCUUUGAGGAAACCGAAGUCGUUCAAGGUUUAAACCUCCAUGAGAAAACCGAUUGAUAUCGUAGAUUGAGAGAGAUUCAAAGUACAAAACCAAGACAUGUCCCGAUAAUGAGAAUUCGUUAGAACGCCCAGUAGAGAUCAAAUUCCGCUUGAGAUAGUGAAGAUCCGAAGCAACAAAUCCAUUCGUAUCUCAUUCCAAUCCAUGACCAGUAUCUUAUUCUUUGAAUUUCGGGACGAAAUUCCCUCUAACGGGGGGAUAAUAUAACAACCCGAAGUUGUUCCUCGCCGAAAACCCAUUCUACCCGUAUAACUCGACGGAGAUUGAAAUGUCCCGAUAUCGUUUUUGGGUUUAGUUAACAAAAAUUAUAUAUUUAUUUUCAUUCAAUGAGGGUCCAAAUCAUUUAGGAACUCAAGAAAUCAGCCCAAAAACAUUGUUACAUAAAUUUUAGAAACGUCCCCGCCGGGUGACGAAAACUCAAUCGGGUGCGACCUAAAGCUUCGUUUAAGGCCGGUAUCGGGUAGAAUUCCACCAUGUCCAAGUUUUAGGAACUAUAUAAACGUGUCUAACCUUUCAUUUGAAGCAUUUUCCUUCUCUCUCUACUCUCUCUCUAACCUCUCUCCUAAAUCCAAAGAUUAAGUGUUCAAAACUCAAUUUUAAGGCUUCAAAUCCUUAAGGUACCUUCCUAGCCUUAAUCUAUAGCAUGUUUAGCUUCCAAGUUUGACAUUUAAUCAUGAAAUUGGCCAUCAUAUGUGAGUUUACGGCCCAGGAGGCUGCCUAGGCCGUAAACACCAUUUUGAAGAGUUUUAAGCCCUUAAACUCCUUCCUAAACUCAUUUGGACUUUAGAUAUGGCUAAGGGACAUCAAGAUAUGGACUUAGAACAUUUAAAACAUUGAUUUUGAGUCAUUUGAAGGAGUUUACGGCCAAGGCAUAAGCUUGGGCCGUAAACUCAUGUAAAUGGGGUUUUUCAUGCCUUUAAACCCUCUAUGGCUUAGAUAUGAAUUAUAGGACCUUGGUAAUAGCAUUUGGACACUUGAAACGUGAUUUUUGGGGGAUUUAGAUGAGUUUACGGCCAAGGAUAGUGCUUGGGCCGUAAACUCCCCAAAACUUGACAUAAAUCCAAUUCUAAGGUGUUAGAAAGCCAUCCAACACCACCAAAAGCCUUGGAAUAAAUCAAGGGACCAACCAAAAAUACUUUAAGGGCCUUAAACACAUCAUUCAUGGGAUUUCUAAGAGUUUACGGCCAAGACCUGUUCUUGGGCCGUAAACUCCAAAAUUUUUGGUGUUAGAAUGCAAACUAAACACCCCUAAAGCCUUUAGAUGAAUUUUAGAAGCCAUUCUAUGCAAGUUUUAAACCUUGAAACACCUUGUAGCACCAUGUAGUAGAGUUUACGGCCAAGAGGGGGGUCUCAUAGGCCGUAAACUCCAUAACACCCCUCAAAUGUCCCAUAAAACUCAUGUUAGGUCUUGGAAUAAUUCUAUUAAUCACAUGUGAUUUGUUUUAACAAAAUUUAACACCAUUUUCGUGGGAAAAUAGGAGUCUAAGGCCAGGAAGCCAUGCUAGGCCGUAAACUCCCAUAUAAGGGUCUAUUUUAUGUUUUAAAACUAAUCCAAGUCCCUAAACCAAGUCUAGAAAUUAUCCCUUAAGUGUUAGAAGUCAUUUAGCACCAUAAACC